rnacentral:rRNA from 1 species
UACGUAGGGGGCUAGCGUUGUCCGGAAUCAUUGGGCGUAAAGCGCGCGUAGGCGGCCCGGUAAGUCCGUUGUGAAAGUCAAAGGCUCAACCUUUGAAAGCCGAUGGAUACUGCCGGGCUAGAGUCCGGAAGAGGCGAGUGGAAUUCCUGGUGUAGCGGUGGAAUGCGCAGAUAUCAGGAGGAACACCAAUGGCGAAGGCAGCUCGCUGGGACGGUACUGACGCUGAGGCGCGAAAGCAUGGGGAGCAAACAGG